rnacentral:rRNA from 1 species
AGGACGAACGCUGGCGGCGUGCUUAACACAUGCAAGUCGAGCGAGGCCCUUCCUUCGGGAAGGUGCCCUAGCGGCGAACGGGUGAGUAACACGUGGGCAACCUGCCCCUAGCACUGGGAUAACCCCGGGAAACCGGGGCUAAAUACCGGAUACGACCUCGAGAGGCAUCUCUCGUGGUGGAAAAGGUUACUGGCUAGGGAUGGGCCCGCGGCCUAUCAGCUUGUUGGUGGGGUAAUGGCCCACCAAGGCGACGACGGGUA